rnacentral:rRNA from 1 species
CAGCAGCCGCGGGAAUACGUAGGGUGCGAGCGUUAAUCGGAAUUACUGGGCGUAAAGCGAGCGCAGACGGUUAUUUAAGCAGGAUGUGAAAUCCCCGGGCUUAACCUGGGAACUGCGUUCUGAACUGGAUAGCUAGAGUGUGUCAGAGGGGGGUAGAAUUCCACGUGUAGCAGUGAAAUGCGUAGAGAUGUGGAGGAAUACCGAUGGCGAAGGCAGCCCCCUGGGAUAACACUGACGUUCAUGCUCGAAAGCGUGGGUAGCAAACAGGAUUAGAUACCCCUGUAGUCCCUGUCUCUUAUAC